GAUGAACGCUGGCGGCGUGCCUAAUACAUGCCAGUCGAGCGAACGGACGAGAAGCUUGCUUCUCUGAUGUUAGCGGCGGACGGGUGAGUAACACGUGGAUAACCUACCUAUAAGACUGGGAUAACUUCGGGAAACCGGAGCUAAUACCGGAUAAUAUUUUGAACCGCAUGGUUCAAAAGUGAUAGACGGUCUUGCUGUCACUUAUAGAUGUAUCCGCGCUGCAUUAGCUAGUUGGUAAGGUAACGGCUUACCAAGGCCACGAUGCAUAGCCGACCUGAGAGGAUGAUCGGCCACACUGGAACUGAGACACGGUCCAGACUCCUACGGGAGGCAGCAGUAGGGAAUCUUCCGCAAUGGGCGAAAGCCUGACGGAGCAACGCCGCGUGAGUGAUGAAGGUCUUCGGAUCGUAAAACUCUGUUGUUAGGGAAGAACAGAUGUGUAAGUAACUGUGCACAUCUUGACGGUACCUAAUCAGAAAGCCACGGCUAACUACGUG
rnacentral:rRNA from 1 species